rnacentral:rRNA from 1 species
GACGAACGCUGGCGGCGUGCUUAACACAUGCAAGUCGAACGGAAAGGCCCUGCUUUUGUGGGGUGCUCGAGUGGCGAACGGGUGAGUAACACGUGAGUAACCUGCCCUUGACUUUGGGAUAACUUCAGGAAACUGGGGCUAAUACCGGAUAGGAGCUCCUGCUGCAUGGUGGGGGUUGGAAAGUUUCGGCGGUUGGGGAUGGACUCGCGGCUUAUCAGCUUGUUGGUGGGGUAGUGGCUUACCAAGGCUUUGACGGGUAGCCGGCCUGAGAGGGUGACCGGCCACAUUGGGACUGAGAUACGGCCCAGACGCCUACGGGAGGCAGCAGUGGGGAAUAGUGCACAAUGGGCGGAAGCCUGAUGCAGCAACGCCGCGUGCGGGAUGACGGCCUUCGGGUUGUAAACCGCGUUCGCCUGUGACGAAGCGUGAUUGACGGUAAUGGGUAAAGAAGCACCGGCUAACUACGUG